rnacentral:lncRNA from 1 species
CAUUGAACAGAGCCUUCUUCCCAUCCAACAAGAACCGCGGAACAGGGGAAUGGAGCAUUGGACAUUGAAGAUCCCCGAAAAUUAGGGUGCGAUAGGGAUGAAGACGCUGAUCUUGGGGGUUGAUUGUGAUUGAAACCCAACCGUGGAGUGCUGGAUUAAGAGUCCUUUUGCAUUUGAAUUCUGAUUUGUUUGGGUCAAGAGUCCUUGUCAUUAAGUCUGGUAUUGAAUUCAGUUGGGAUUAGGAGUCUUAUCGGUUUGGGUUUAGUUUUCCUUGAAUCUGAAUGUACGAGGGAUUAGAGUGUUUUGUGAUCCUAUAUAAGGAUCGUGUGAAGGGGUUGUUCUCCUUCUUGGGACGUUAAUAUUUUUUUUCAGCCGCCAUGGUUAAGGAAAAACAACGUUGAAAGCACAGCAUGAAUCCUCUGUUUUAUGCCCCGUUUUUAUAUGAGUCCUCUUCAUUCCGAGUUUCGUCUCAGGUCUGCAGUGCUGCGAAUCUGAUUUUCUCUAUGCUUCCCUGCACCAGCACUGAAUUCUAUGAUCCGGGUCAGGGAAGACUUAGAUGCACCUGAAGUAUCUGUAUUAGAGAAAGUAGGGGAAGCAUGCUCAAGUGAUAAAUUCAGUGCUAGCCGUCUGCUGAGCAAACUGAGCGGAGAACUCUAGAUAACAGCUAGAAGA